AUGGUUGCUUUCCGGGACUGCUUGGAGGUAUGUGGUUUGGUAGAUCUCGGUUUCGUAGGGGUACCGUUUACCUACGACAAUAAACGGGUUGUUGCAAAUAAUGUACGGGUUCGACUGGAUCAAGCGGUAGCUACAAACAUGUGGAGGCACCUGUUUGCUUUCUCUGUUGUUUCACAUAUUCCGUCACCAUGUUCAGACCAUGUAAUGUUAGUGCUCAAAGCAUCGGCCGACCCAGGGCCGAUGGGUGCUAGACCGAGGCGGUAUGAACUAUUCUGGGAGUCUGAUGGUACGUUGCCAGAGGUGAUCAAGGAGGCAUGGGACGCGGUGGGGGGUGUCCGCAACCUAGCCCAGCUGCGUGACGCCCUAUCAAAAACAAUGAUUUCACUCGGUCAAUGGGGGAGGAAAUUCGGUAAUGUUACGAGGGAGCUUGCAAAGUCCAGAUCCUAG
rnacentral:rRNA from 1 species